UUAUCCUUUGUUGCCAGCGGUCCGGCCGGGAACUCAAAGGAGACUGCCAGUGAUAAACUGGAGGAAGGUGGGGAUGACGUCAAGUCAUCAUGGCCCUUACGACCAGGGCUACACACGUGCUACAAUGGCAUAUACAAAGAGAAGCGACCUCGCGAGAGCAAGCGGACCUCAUAAAGUAUGUCGUAGUCCGGAUUGGAGUCUGCAACUCGACUCCAUGAAGUCGGAAUCGCUAGUAAUCGUAGAUCAGAAUGCUACGGUGAAUACGUUCCCGGGCCUUGUACACACCGCCCGUCACACCAUGGGAGUGGGUUGCAAAAGAAGUAGGUAGCUUAACCUUCGGGAGGGCGCUUACCACUUUGUGAUUCAUGACUGGGGUGAAGUCGUAACAAGGUAACCGUAGGGGAACCUGCGGUUGGAUCACCUCCUUA
rnacentral:rRNA from 1 species